AGUCUUGAGGUAGUUUGUUUUCUAAUUUUUUGAGAAAUUGCCACACUGACAUCCAAAGUGUCUGGACCAGCUUGCACUCCCACCAGCAACUGAGUGCAACCUUCCUGAAGCACACUUGUGGGAAGAGGAGGACCUUCCCCGAAUAAAGGAGGACUGGUCUUCCAUCAAGGGUAUAGGAGUAGCUGCGCUCCCCUGCUAGACCCUCCAAACAAGCUGUCAAGGUCCCCUAAACAUUUUAAGUAUCAAAAAAAAAAACCUUAUAGACAUUACUAUCAGAGGUUUGAGAUUUGU
rnacentral:sRNA from 1 species